ACAAUAGGAACUAAUACAGGAAAUAUUGACGAUGGAGGAGGUGGAUUCCCUACGUGGGCUUGGGUUACUAUUCUCAUUGUAUGCGUCGUUGUUAUUCUUGUGUUCAUUGCUUGGCUCAUUAUAUUCAGAAGUAAACGGAAAAAUAAGCGAUCGGAUCCGAGAUUAUUGCCCAAUAAAACAGCAACAGUGUCUCCCCGCCAGCACCACGAAGCCUUUCUGAAUAGACAAAGUUCCCGGCACAGCGGUUACAAACCUAGUUACAAAGAUUCUGGAGAGUAUGAAAACAAUGCCUACACGGAUUCACUACCUGCCUUUAGCAGUGCUACACAGGACAGG